AGUGAACGCUGGCGGCAGGCCUAACACAUGCAAGUCGAACGGCAGCACAGUAAGAGCUUGCUCUUAUGGGUGGCGAGUGGCGGACGGGUGAGGAAUACAUCGGAGUCUACUCUUUCGUGGGGGAUAACGUAGGGAAACUUACGCUAAUACCGCAUACGACCUACGGGUGAAAGCGGAGGACCUUCGGGCUUCGCGCGAUUGAAUGAGCCGAUGUCGGACUAGCUAGUUGGCGGGGUAAAGGCCCACCAAGGCGACGAUCCGUAGCUGGUCUGAGAGGAUGAUCAGCCACACUGGAACUGAGACACGGUCCAGACUCCUACGGGAGGCAGCAGUGGGGAAUAUUGGACAAUGGGCGCAAGCCUGAUCCAGCCAUGCCGCGUGGGUGAAGAAGGCCUUCGGGUUGUAAAGCCCUUUUGUUGGGAAAGAAAAGCAGUCGGUUAAUACCCGAUUGUUCUGACGGUACCCAAAGAAUAAGCACCGGCUAACUUCGUGCCAGCCGCCGCCGUAAGAC
rnacentral:rRNA from 1 species